CACACAGCAGCAUCAGGUCAGCUAAGAAGCUCGGAAAGACACUGGGUCUCCAGGUGAAACAAUUCCAGACGUAGAACAGGAUAUCCGGGUCCCAAUGGGCAGGGCCAUUCUUAUAUGUAUGGUGGUAGCCGAAUGUUCCCCUGAUAGCAGUUAUUGGGAUAAAGAAGGAUCAGAUGGCUUGUAUAACAUACCUUCACAGAACAGUCUCCACUUGUGCUUGUUGAUGGCUGUCCCCAUUUUUUGGCACUGGGAAUAACAUUGCAAUCUUCUUC